UACGUAGGGUGCGAGCGUUGUCCGGAAUUAUUGGGCGUAAAGGGCUCGUAGGCGGUUUGUCGCGUCGGGAGUGAAAAUCCAGGGCUUAACUCUGGACUGGCUUCCGAUACGGGCAGACUAGAGGUAUGCAGGGGAGAACGGAAUUCCUGGUGUAGCGGUGAAAUGCGCAGAUAUCAGGAGGAACACCGGUGGCGAAGGCGGCGCCCUGGCUCGCAACUGACGCUCAGACACGACAGCAUGGGGAGCGAACGGG
rnacentral:rRNA from 1 species